GGUCACAAAGGCUGUGAAUGCCAACCCUGGUUGGGGACAUGUGAGAUGAGAGGCUGUCGGAAUGGUAGGUGCUUGGGAAAGAGGGAGAAAUAUGUGAUAGCUCUGCUCACCUGCAAGACCUCGAGAGACCCAGCCUCAUACACCUGCCCCCCGAUGCCAUGCCAGCCAGGCAACAAGAAUGACAGCACAAUCCCCACGGUCCUUGGAAGAGCAACACAGAGUGGAAACGGGGUGCUUCAGGCCAGGCAGGGGGUGGAGAACAGCUUGGCAGUCUGCAGAGGCCUAUUCACCUGUCCUGGGACUGUGACUCCGGCUGCUGAGAGGCCCCACUGUGGGCACUGGCAGGGUGAGAGGAAGGCCUGAGCUGGCCAGACAGAGCCGGGAAAGACCUUUCAUCAGGAUUCCCAGGCUGCUGCGGAGGCCCGGGCACCUCAAUCACUCCUAUCGCGCUGGUCGCAGGAAGAGAAUAGCUUUCAGCUCAAUUACCCUUCACAUUCCAAUAUCAUAACGCUCCGAUGAGGCUUUUUAACCAAAAACAAAAAAGCCGUGUCUGCCGCAGGCCGGCUGCAAGGCCAGCCGUGCAGAAGGGACGGGCCUGCCUGCCUGACAGUCACUGCUCAGCCCUCUGGGUGAGUUAUGGGAAGGGACCUGUCCCAAGGCACUGGCCAGGCCGAGGGGGCACUGAGGUCCCGGACCUCAGUUUACCAACAUACGCCCUGCCUCUA